UGGGGAAUCUUCCGCAAUGGACGAAAGUCUGACGGAGCAACGCCGCGUGAGUGAAGAAGGUUUUCGGAUCGUAAAGCUCUGUCUUCUGGGACGAAUGUGCCCCAUGUAAAUCAUGUUCGAUAAUGACGGUACCGAGGAGGAAGCC
rnacentral:rRNA from 1 species